rnacentral:rRNA from 1 species
GAUGAACGCUAGCGACAGGCUUAACACAUGCAAGUCGAGGGGCAGCACAGGUAGCAAUACCGGGUGGCGACCGGCGCACGGGUGAGUAACGCGUAUGCAACUUGCCUAUCAGAGGGGGAUAACCCGGCGAAAGUCGGACUAAUACCGCAUGAAGCAGGGGCCCCGCAUGGGGAUAUUUGCUAAAGAUUCAUCGCUGAUAGAUAGGCAUGCGUUCCAUUAGGCAGUUGGCAGGGUAACGGCCCACCAAACCGACGAUGGAUAGGGGUUCUGAGAGGAAGGUCCCCCACAUUGGUACUGAGACACGGACCAAACUCCUACGGGAGGCAGCAGUGAGGAAUAUUGGUCAAUGGGCGUAAGCCUGAACCAGCCAAGUCGCGUGAGGGAUGAAGGUUCUAUGGAUCGUAAACCUCUUUUAUAAGGGAAUAAAGUGCGGGACGUGUCCCGUUUUGUAUGUACCUUAUGAAUAAGGAUCGGCUAACUCCGUGCCAGCAGCCGCGGUAAUACGGAGGAUUCGAGCGUUAUCCGGAUUUAUUGGGUUUAAAGGGAGCGUAGGCGGGUGCUUAAGUCAGUUGUGAAAGUUUGCGGCUCAACCGUAAAAUUGCAGUUGAUACUGGGCGCCUUGAGUGCAGCAUAGGUAGGCGGAAUUCGUGGUGUAGCGGUGAAAUGCUUAGAUAUCACGAAGAACUCCGAUUGCGAAGGCAGCUUACUGGACUGUAACUGACGCUGAUGCUCGAAAGUGUGGGUAUCAAACAGGAUUAGAUACCCUGGUAGUCCACACAGUAAACGAUGAAUACUCGCUGUUGGCGAUACACAGUCAGCGGCCAAGCGAAAGCAUUAAGUAUUCCACCUGGGGAGUACGCCGGCAACGGUGAAACUCAAAGGAAUUGACGGGGGCCCGCACAAGCGGAGGAACAUGUGGUUUAAUUCGAUGAUACGCGAGGAACCUUACCCGGGCUUAAAUUGCAGUGGAAUGUAGUGGGAACAUUACAGCCUUCGGGCCGCUGUGAAGGUGCUGCAUGGUUGUCGUCAGCUCGUGCCGUGAGGUGUCGGCUUAAGUGCCAUAACGAGCGCAACCCUUAUCUAUAGUUACUAUCAGGUCAUGCUGAGGACUCUAUGGAGACUGCCGUCGUAAGAUGUGAGGAAGGUGGGGAUGACGUCAAAUCAGCACGGCCCUUACGUCCGGGGCUACACACGUGUUACAAUGGGGGGUACAGAAGGCAGCUACCUGGCGACAGGAUGCUAAUCCCUAAAACCUCUCUCAGUUCGGAUUGGAGUCUGCAACCCGACUCCAUGAAGCUGGAUUCGCUAGUAAUCGCGCAUCAGCCACGGCGCGGUGAAUACGUUCCCGGGCCU